AAGUGGCGUAGUGGGUCAUUGGGUCUGGCUGAUAACCAGAAGGUUGGUGGUUCGAGCCCAUCCAGGGAUA